AAUUUAAAAAUUAAAAAUCUAAAAAAAAAAAUAAAUAAGAAAAAACUGAAAUAAUUUAAAAGGGCUAUUGUAAACGAAAUUUAUUGUAAACGAAAUUCUAAGUAUGUACACGAAAUUCUAAAGUACAUGACCGCUUCGGGACCCAUCAUAGGCGGCACAGUAUCCGGCUCGUCGGUUCCCUGCAAAAACAAUGCCUGAAAACGGACAGGACAUCUACGGGUUUCGUGUUCCCACUACCACCGCGAGCGAGGCGACCCUCCCCAUCACCAUGGCCUGCAACUUGUCACGUGAUUCCAAUAACAAAUAAUUCCAGCCAGAAAGGAUCAUCCCCUAGACCAGUUGCUGCCAAGUUUUGAAAUCCAACCGGAACCCGUAUACCAGCUAGCGUGGGAAGACGAAGAAACGGAAAAGAAAAAAGUCCGCAAUGAGGGUCUUCUGUAGAGAGCUGUUGUCGAGCUAGUUGUUGAAUUUUUUUAAUAAAUCUAUAAAAAUGUAAAAA